rfam:Trichosporon asahii var. asahii CBS 8904 unplaced genomic scaffold scaffold00066, whole genome shotgun sequence.
GGUCGCGUGGCCCAAUGGCAAGGCGUCUGACUACGACUUCUCACCUCCGCAGCACAUCGCGGGGCUUGGAGUAAUCAGGAGAUUGCGGGUUCGAUCCCCGUCGUGACCU